rnacentral:lncRNA from 1 species
GGCGACGCCAUCUAUCCAAACAAAGCCUGUUGUCUAGACCGGUUGCGAUGAGGAGGAAGAGUACUCCGACCCUCCAAACGACAAGCUCAUCCGGACAGGUUGCUGCUGCCAAAGCAUUAUUAAUAUAUUGUCUCCAUACUGUAUAAAACAAAAAUUAUUCCAGGGGCUCAAUCAGCUGUCCCCUUGACACCAACUUAAUUAUCAUAGUAUAAUGAAUGAGGAUAAUUUGUCUCUUGCAUAAAACAUGCUGGUACUAAUUUGAGACCCCCAAGAGAAUAUAAACACCAUUGUGAGGC